rnacentral:rRNA from 1 species
AUUGAACGCUGGCGGCAUGCUUUACACAUGCAAGUCGAACGGCAGCGCGGGCUUCGGCCUGUCGGCGAGUGGCGAACGGGUGAGUAAUGCAUCGGAACGUGCCCAGUAGUGGGGGAUAGCCCGGCGAAAGCCGGAUUAAUACCGCAUACGACCUGAGGGUGAAAGCGGGGGACCGAAAGACCUCGCGCUAUUGGAGCGGCCGAUGUCGGAUUAGCUAGUUGGUGGGGUAAAGGCUUACCAAGGCGACGAUCCGUAGCUGGUCUGAGAGGACGACCAGCCACACUGGGACUGAGACACGGCCCCGACUCCUAGGGGAGGCAGCAGUGGGGAAUUUUGGACAAUGGGGGCAACCCUGAUCCAGCCAUGCCGCGUGAGGGAAGAAGGCCUUCGGGUUGUAAAGCGCUUUUGUUCGGGAAGAAAUCCUCUGGGCUAAUACCCCGGGGGGAUGACGGUACCGGCAGAAUAAGCACCGGCUAACUACGUG